AGCGGCGGUGCUCGCCGUCGUUGUGACAGCAGGGCUAGGAGCGCCGGGGCCAACAACAGUCCCCGCCGUCCUGAUGCCGUUCGCCAUUGCCGCCGACAAGAGCGCGACGCAGACGAGCACGGCUAGCCUGCCCGCCAUUAAUUGCCGCUGCUUCUGCUUUUCAGAGAUGAACGGCGGUUGUUCAGAGGAGAUGCAAAGGUUGCUGCAGAAUAUACUGAAGGGAUCAAUGCAAGGUUCUUGGGAGUUGGGAGCAAUGCAAGGAAGCAGAGGAGAGUGACAAGUGGUGACUGGUGAAGGAAGAGUGUGUAUGACGAUCCUAGCAAUCUGCAGCACAUGAUGUUUAUAUAUAUGUACAUCCUGCUCUACCGAAGCCCUGGCUUUGGAGUCCGAUCCAAUGAUGCUGAUUGAUGCUACAUGGAUGCAGAUGUGUGCCGAGAGCGGCUUUGGGUUUCCUCUCCUUUGUUGGUUCGCUCAAAAAGUACAAAUCAGAAACACCAGGUCUAGUCGUGAUCAGCCUAUGAGUUGGACGCCCGAGGAAGACAGGGAAGUUCCAAAAGAGCAGUACCGCACUUGCCAGCAAGGGGCAAGGCGAUCUGCAGGGCGCAGGGGGCCUACGCUGCCUGAGCGAACUGAUUAGCAUGCCGAGUUCGCACUAGAAUUUGGAAUCGGCCAUUGCUGGUGGUACGAGCAGAGCAGGCAUGAUGGCUGCAUGCGUACGGCCGCUGCGGCGUGGCAUCAAUGAUUUCGCUGCAUAUGGCGGUUGUGUUGGCUGGCAUCGGUGCUGACUGAGAAAGCAGCAGUGGUGACGAGACCAACACCGUACGCCUAGUUGCGCAGCGCCGGUGAUCACACCUUGGACGGUUGUGGCCAGGGACCUCUAUCCUCGCCUUGCAAACACCAUGUCGUUCUUUUUUUUCUUCUUUACUGCACUAUUCACCGCUCGUCUUGUGUGGCCACUAGUAGUAGCCGUAGCAAUCGACACUGUGUCUUAACUCAUA